GACGAACUGUCCUAACGUUGUUCGGAAUCACUGGGCUUAAAGGGUGCGUAGGCGGCGCGGUAAGUCGGGUGUGAAAUCUCGGGGCUUAACUCCGAAACUGCAUUCGAUACUGCCGUGCUUGAGGACUGGAGAGGAGACUGGAAUUUACGGUGUAGCGGUGAAAUGCGUAGAUAUCGUAAGGAAGACCAGUGGCGAAGGCGGGUCUCUGGACAGUUCCUGACGCUGAGGCACGAAGGUCAGGGGAGCAAACGGG
rnacentral:rRNA from 1 species